GACAGAGGAUGCAAGCGUUAUCCGGAAUGAUUGGGCGUAAAGCGUCUGUAGGUGGCUUUUCAAGUCCGCCGUCAAAUCCCAGGGCUCAACCCUGGACAGGCGGUGGAAACUACCAAGCUGGAGUACGGUAGGGGCAGAGGGAAUUUCCAGUGGAGCGGUGAAAUGCGUAGAUAUUGGAAAGAACACCGAUGGCGAAGGCACUCUACUGGGCUAUUACUGACACUCAGAGACGAAAGCUAGGGGAGCAAAUGGG
rnacentral:rRNA from 1 species